GUGGGGAAUUUUGGACAAUGGGCGCAAGCCUGAUCCAGCCAUGCCGCGUGCAGGAUGAAGGCCUUCGGGUUGUAAACUGCUUUUGUACGGAACGAAAAGACUCUGGUUAAUACCUGGGGUCCAUGACGGUACCGUAAGAAUAAGCACCGGCUAACUACGUGCCAGCAGCCGCGGUAAUACGUAGGGUGCGAGCGUUAAUCGGAAUUACUGGGCGUAAAGCGUGCGCAGGCGGUUAUGUAAGACAGAUGUGAAAUCCCCGGGCUCAACCUGGGAACUGCAUCUGUGACUGCAUUGCUGGAGUGCGGCAGAGGGGGAUGGAAUUCCGCGUGUAGCAGUGAAAUGCGUAGAUAUGCGGAGGAACACCGAUGGCGAAGGCAAUCCCCUGGGCCUGCACUGACGCUCAUGCACGAAAGCGUGGGGAGCAAACAGGAUUAGAAACCCCGGUAGUCC
rnacentral:rRNA from 1 species